AACGAACGCUGGCGGCAGGCUUAACACAUGCAAGUCGAACGCCCCGCAAGGGGAGUGGCAGACGGGUGAGUAACGCGUGGGAACAUACCCUUUUCUACGGAAUAGCUCUGGGAGACUGGAAUUAAUACCGUAUACGCCCUACGGGGGAAAGAUUUAUCGGGGAAGGAUUGGCCCGCGUUGGAUUAGCUAGUUGGUGGGGUAAAGGCCUACCAAGGCGACGAUCCAUAGCUGGUCUGAGAGGAUGAUCAGCCACAUUGGGACUGAGACACGGCCCAAACUCCUACGGGAGGCAGCAGUGGGGAAUAUUGGACAAUGGGCGCAAGCCUGAUCCAGCCAUGCCGCGUGAGUGAUGAAGGCCUUAGGGUUGUAAAGCUCUUUCACCGAUGAAGAUAAUGACGGUAGUCGGAGAAGAAGCCCCGGCUAACUUCGUG
rnacentral:rRNA from 1 species